rnacentral:rRNA from 1 species
UACGUAGGGGGCAAGCGUUGUCCGGAUUUAUUGGGCGUAAAGAGCGUGUAGGCGGUUUGGUAGGUCCGCUGUGAAAACUCGAGGCUCAACCUCGAGACGCCGGUGGAAACCAUCAGGCUAGAGUCCGGAAGAGGAGAGUGGAAUUCCUGGUGUAGCGGUGGAAUGCGCAGAUAUCAGGAGGAACACCAAUGGCGAAGGCAGCUCUCUGGUACGUGACUGACGCUGAGACGCGAAAGCGUGGGUAGCAAACAGG